AAAGAUUGUGCUUUAAAAAGACUGUGAAGCCGAAAAUAAAAUUUCAAAGGAAGGUGAGAAUUAAGUCAAGUCACUGUGGCCCUUAUGGGUUGGGCUACACACGUGCUACAAUGAAAAUGACAGGAAGUAACAAAAAUAAAAACUUUUAGUUAAUCUUUAAAAAUUUUCUUAGUUCGAAUUGUAAACUGCAACUCGUUUACAUGAAGGUGGAAUCACAAGUAAUCGCAAAUCAGAACGUUGCGGUGAAUACGUACCUUGGCUUUGUACACACCGCCCGUCACAUGCAGAAAGCUAGUUUUACUUGAAAAUUAAACUCUCUUUUUAUUUUUUUUGAAAAAUAAAAAAGUUAGUUCAUUGAAAAAUUAGCAAUUUGGAUGAAGUCGUAACAAGGUAGCUGUAAGGGAACUUGUAGCUGGAACAGCU
rnacentral:rRNA from 1 species